rnacentral:rRNA from 1 species
GACGAACGCUGGCGGCGUGCUUAACACAUGCAAGUCGAACGGAAAGGCCCUGCUUUUGUGUGGUGCUCGAGUGGCGAACGGGUGAGUAACACGUGAGUAACCUGCCCUUGACUGUGGGAUAACUUCAGGAAACUGGUGCUAAUACCUGAUAGGAGCUGCUGCUGCAUGGUGGGGGUUGGAACGUUUCGGCGGGUGUGGGUGGACUGGCGGCUUAUGAGCUUGUUGGUGGGGGAGUGGCUUACCAAGGCAUUGACGGGUAGCCCGCCUGAGAGGGUGAACGGGCACAUGGGGCCUGAGGUAGGGCCCAGAGUGCAACGGGGGACAGCAGGGGGAAGUAUUGCCCAGUGGGCGGGAGCGUGAUGCAGCAACGCCCCGUGCGGGAUGAAGGCCUUCGGGUUGUAAACCGCUUUAGCCUGUGACGAAGCGUGAUUGACGGUAAUGGGUAAAGAAGCACCGGCUAACUACGUG